AAACUAUCUAAAGUUUGAAACGGGGAGUUAGGCUCCCCGUCGCUAGUCAUCUAACCUAAAGUUUGAAACGGGGAGAUAGGCUCCCCGGCACUAAAUUCAUAUGGUGCCCGGCACAUUCAUCCUAAUGUUCAUAAAUUCAUGGAAUCUUCAUGUAAAAACACCCAAAACUGGGCAGGAACAACAAGAAAUGGAUUUAAAGAGCAAAAUUUGAAAGAAUUACCUUGAAUAUGAAGAAGAUCUGAAGAACGAUUUGACUAGUAGGUUGAAACUUCAGAGAGAUUCACAAUUGAAGAAAGAGAGUGAAAAGUAAAAAUGAAGUUCACUCUCCUCUGUUAUAUAGAUCAGGCCAGGGGAGUGAAGAGACGCUUUAAUCCAAUGGUCCUUACACUCCCUCGUAAAAAUCAAAGCAGUAAAUGCGCCCUUUCGCAUUCCCAGUAACAAAACCUCCUCGUUACUAACCUCCUCGUCAUAGUAAUGAGCAAUAAAACCCCUCAUUGAUAACUUCCUCGUCAUAGCAACGAGCAACAAUGCUUUCUUGAAAAAUCGCCUCCUCGUCAUCAUUACGAGCAACUGUUCCAUCUUGUGCAAUAUAUCCUCGCAGGAGAUACGAGCAACACAUACUUCCUCGUAACCAUAAUCACGAGCAGGGUAUUAAACACCCUCGAAAAAUCGAUUCGAGCAAAACAUUGCAGAUA
rnacentral:lncRNA from 1 species